rnacentral:rRNA from 1 species
GACGAACGCUGGCGGCGUGCUUAACACAUGCAAGUCGAACGGAAAGGCCCUGCUUUCGUGGGGUGCUCGUGUGGCGAACGGGUGAGUAACACGGGAGUAACCUGCUCUUGACUUUGGGAUAACUUCAGGAAACUGGGGCUAAUACCGGAUAGGAGCUCCUGCUGCAGGGUGGGGGUUGGAAAGUUUCGGCGGUUGGGGAUGGACUCGCGGCUUAUCGGCUUGUUGGUGGGGUAGUGGCUUACCAAGGCUUUGACGGGUAGCCGGCCUGAGAGGGUGACCGGCCACAUUGGGACUGAGAUACGGCCCAGACUCCUACGGGAGGCAGCAGUGGGAAAUAUUGCACAAUGGGCGGAAGCCUGAUGCAGCAACGCCGCGUGCGGGAUGACGGCCUUCGGGUUGUAAACCGCUUUCGCCUGUGACGAAGCGUGAGUGACGGUAAUGGGUAAAGAAGCACCGGCUAACUACGUG